UGCAAGGAAUUUAAAUUUUUUUUAAGAACUAUAAUUGUUGGAAAGAGGAAAUGCCAAUUAAUCAAAUAGAAUGCUCUACACCUUAUUAUACACAAGAAAUGAAUAGCUAUAUCUUAGCUAUUCUAAAGGACAAAGUCUACAAGUUUGACUCUAGCUAUAAAUGGUAAUGGAAUCAAGGAAAGCUUGAGCAUGAGUCAUCUUCUCUUUCCCUCCUCGAUUUUAGCACCCACAAUACUCCAAAUGUGCAGCCUUUCAUCUACAAAAAUAACACAAAAAUGAGGUUAGGAGAUGAGCUCAUACAUUAAAGAGAAAGGAGGCACAAGCCCAAUUUAGAAAUAGAUGAAAUAGACUACACAAGUAGCCAAGAGGCUGCAAUAGAGGGCCUGAGGUCAGCCUCCAAUCAACCCCAAGACUUACACCAUUUUGGAGUAAACAACAACAUCCCAAGGCUCAAAAAGAGAGCAAGCUGGCAGCCAAAAAUAGGAGACUUUGUCCCCAAGAUUUCAGUCACAAACAGCCAAAAAAGGCCAGCCCAGACAUUCACCAAAGUAGCAUGAAGAACACAAUCACAAAAGCUUGAAAGGAAGCUAAGAGAAAGCCCAAAAUAGGAGGCUUCCUUCCCCAAAAUCUGGCACAAAAUGCCAAAAUUUAGAGCUAUAUAAGCAGCCCCCCACCACCUCCAUUUCCCUUCACUAUUUCAUCACCCCAAGCUCCACCACACAAGCAAGAACUUAGAAAGGAAACGAGCGAGGCAGUGGCAGCGAAGGAAGCGCCACAGACCGAGAAGGUUUCACCAAGCGAGGUUAUCUCCGCGAGUUAAGGGUGGAGUCAGGAGAAUUCAAGUUAAGGAGUUUAAGCAAACGAGGUUGAGCAGUGAUGACGGCGGGCGGUGUUGAGCAUAGACGAUGAAGAUCCUUCGAUAAGAAUAGUACUCGGAUGCGAAGUGUCUCCAUACACGACGUCAUCUACUCUUGACUCUUCCGCUGCAAUGUAAAAAAAUCGAGUUUGCACUCUGUAUCAUGCACUCUGAUAUAUACUAUUUGAGUUAUUUCGGUUCAA